UAGCCUAGUGGCUAAGGCUAUGGAUCGCCAAUCCGUAGACGGCGGGUUCGAUUCCCGU
rnacentral:tRNA from 1 species